rnacentral:rRNA from 1 species
ACCCGCUGAACUUAAGCAUAUCAAUAAGCGGAGGAAAAGAAACUAACAAGGAUUCCCCUAGUAAUGGCGAAUGAAGCGGGAAAAGCUCAAAUUUGAAAUCUGGCCGUUCUGCGGUCCGAGUUGUAAUUUCAAGAAGCGUCUUCGGAUGCGGCCCGGGUUUAAGUUCCUUGGAACAGGACGUCAUAGAGGGUGAGAACCCCGUCUUUGGCCCGGUGACCGUAUUCAUGUGAAGCGUUUUCAAAGAGUCGAGUUGUUUGGGAAUGCAGCUCAAAAUGGGUGGUAAAUUCCAUCUAAAGCUAAAUAUUGGCGAGAGACCGAUAGCGAACAAGUACCGUGAGGGAAAGAUGAAAAGCACUUUGGAAAGAGAGUUAAACAGUAUGUGAAAUUGUUGAAAGGGAAACGAUUGAAGUCAGUCAUGUCUAUUGGACUCAGCCGGUUCUGCCGGUGUACUUCCUUUAGAUGGGGUCAACAUCAGUUUUGAUCGCUGGAAAAGGGCAGGAGGAAUGUAGCACUCUCGGGUGAACUUAUAGCCUUCUGUCGUAUACAGUGGUUGGGACUGAGGAACGCAGCAUGCCUUUAUGGCCGGGGUUCGCCCACGUACAUGCUUAGGAUGUUGACAUAAUGGCUUUAAACGACCCGUCUUGAAACACGG